rnacentral:rRNA from 1 species
GCUGGCGGCAGGCUUAACACAUGCAAGUCGAACGCUCGUAGCAAUACGGGAGUGGCGGACGGGUGAGUAACGCUGGGAACGUGCCCUGAGGUACGGAAUAACUGAGGGAAAACGUUCAGCUAAUACCGUAUGAGCCCCGAGAGGGGGAAAGAUUUAUCGCCUUGGGAGCGGCCCGCGUCGGAUUAGCUAGUUGGCGGGGUAACGGCCCACCAAGGCGACGAUGUCUAGCUGGUCUGAGAGGAUGAUCAGCCACACUGGGACUGAGACACGGCCCAGACUCCUACGGGAGGCAGCAGUAGGGAAUAUUGGACAAUGGGGGGAACCCUGAUCCAGCCAUGCCGCGUGAGGGAAGAAGGUCCUCUGGAUUGUAAACCUCUUUUGGCGGGGGACAAACCUGCACUAUACGUGCAGCUGAGGGUACCCGCAGAAUAAGCACCGGCUAACUCCGUG